CUUGGCACCUACCUGGACAAACAAAACAUGCUGAAAGAAAUUCUACCAUUCGCACCUCUCCGGGCAACGCAGCAUCUCUUAAAAAAUGGAGCUUGAAAAGGAGAUAGAGGGAAAGAUGACGACUUGUAAUUCCUCCUUUAAGAUAAUAUUGGGUUCAUCAUCUUUGGCUCGGCGGCAAAUUCUCAAUGAGAUGGGAUAUGAAUUUACUGUUGUGACCGCAGAUAUAGAUGAAAAAAGUAUAAGAAAAGAUAAGCCAGAGGAAUUGGUGAUGGCUCUAGCUGAGGCAAAGGCAAACGCCAUCAUAGAAAGGCUUCGAAUUGAAGGUCAUGUGGAAGAGGAUGCUCAGGCAACAUUGUUAAUUACUGCAGACACAGUGGUGGUGAGUAAUGGGAUGGUUAGAGAAAAGCCAAAUAGCAAGGAAGAAGCACGGGAGUUUAUCAAAGGCUAUUCCGGUGGUCAUGCAGCAGUCAUAGGAUCUGUGGUUGUAAGUAACCUUACUACUGGAAUACGAAAAGGAGCAUGGGAAAAAGCUGAGGUUUAUUUCCAUGAGAUACCUGAUGAGAUCAUUGAUAGCGUGAUUGAGGAGGGAAGUACACUCCAUGUUGCUGGGGGUUUGACACUGGAACACCCAUUGACAUCACCAUUUGUUGAAGCAGUGUGAUGUAUUUUGCAGGUAGGGAGCACAGAUACAGUGUGGGGGCUUUCAAAAGCAUUAACCGAAAAACUCAUCAAGGAUAACCUUGUAGCUGCAAAAUAACUCGAAGCUUGAUAUCGCUUGAAUUCUAUUCAGUCCAUGGCUCAAGUCUUUUUACUCUUCAAAACUAAACAUGCUGACGACGGAGAACUAUACUGUCCUGCAAACAAAAAGAUGCAUACAAGAUUCUUUAUUGCAUUCACAUUUUUUUUUAUCUUUUCUAGUGAUCCUUGGUGAUCAUGAAUCUUACAGAUAUUCAAGUUGCAAGAUUUUUGAAGUUUCUUUAUCAUUUCUUUUUUUCUUUUUUUUGAAGUUUAUCAUUUCUUUUUUAUUCCUACAGCUGGUUGAUUCUUACAUUUCUCCAGAUUGUUUGCACCGAUGUUUCUAAUUUCUAUACAACACUUUUUAUCAGUACAAUCUAACAGUCUUUUUUUUUUCA